CCAUCCCUUCUUUGCUCCUCUGAAGCACAUUUGAGGUUUAAUGAAUACACCCUUGCAUUAUAAACUGCACAUCUAGACAGUUUAUUUGACAUGAUGUACAAAACAUAAACACAGAUGAAUCGCAUGUCCAGCCUUUAUCAUACUGUGAUAAACAUGAUACAAGUUACACAUGAAUUGAAGCAACUUGACCUUAAGUACCUUAUUAUUCUGUGGGGUUCAUCCAC